rnacentral:tRNA from 1 species
AAAGCUUUAAGUUAAAAAAACUAUUAACCUUCAAAGUUAAAAAUAUAUUUGUAUAAGCUUUA